rnacentral:rRNA from 1 species
CACGUAGUUAGCCGUGGCUUCCUCGCUCGGUACCGUCACCCAGGUUCAAUGUUUUCAAACCCAGUUUUCGUCCCGUGCAACAGAGCUUUACGAUCCGAAGACCUUCUUCACUCACGUGGCGUUGCUCCAUCAGGCUUUCGCCCAUUGUGGAAGAUUCCCCACUGCUGCCUCCCGUAGGAGUCUGGGCCGUGUCUCAGUCCCAAUGUGGCCGUUCAUCCUCUCAGACCGGCUACUGAUCGUCGCUUUGGUGGGCCCGUUACCCCGCCAACUGGCUAAUCAGACGCAGGCCCAUCGACAGGCGAUAGCAUUCGUAAGAGGCCAUCUUUUAUCCAAGGAUGAUGCCAUCCUCGGACUCCAUUCGGAUUAGCAUUCCUUCGGAAUGUGUCCCAUCCUGUCGCAGGUGCCUACGUGUUACUCACCCGUUUGCCACUCUCACCUUUACGAAAUAAAGGUUCCCUUGACCUUGCAUCGUGUUAA